AUGACAGGGACGGGGGACCCAAAUUCGGGUACCGGAAACGGUGCCCUUGGGGUGAAGCCAGACGGACCUCGGUCCCGACGGCCGGGUGAUUCUCCCACCCGAACCCGACAGCUGACCUCGCAGGCGUCCAGGAGAGGU
rnacentral:sRNA from 1 species